rnacentral:misc_RNA from 1 species
GAUGAAGAACGCAGCGAAAUGCGAUAAGUAAUGUGAAUUGCAGAAUUCAGUGAAUCAUCGAAUCUUUGAACGCAUCUUGCGCUCCUUGGUAUUCUGAGGAGCAUGCCUGUUUGAGUGUCAUUAAAUUCUCAACUACACUGACUUUGAUUUGGUGUGGCUUGGAUUUGGGGGGAAAAUUGUUGUGGGCUUUUUGUAUAGUCUGCUCCCCUGAAAUUGAUUAGCGGUACCUUUGUGGAACUGUCUACAGGUGUGAUAAUUAUCUACAUCUUAGACAUCUGCUGGAAUGCUGCUUUCUAAACCUUACUUGUAUUGACAAUCUUGACCUCAAAUCAGGUAGGACUACCCGCUGAACUUAAGCAUAUCAAUAAGCGGAGGA